GACGUAGGGUGCCAGCGUUGUUCGGAAUUACUGGGCGUAAAGGGUUCGUAGGCGGUGUGGUAAGUCGGGUGUGAAAUCUCUGGGCUCAACUCAGAGACUGCUUCCGAAACUGCUGUGCUGGAGUGUGGGAGAGGCGCGUGGAAUUGCAGGUGUAGCGGUGAAAUGCGUAGAUAUCUGCAGGAACACCCGUGGCGAAAGCGGCGCGCUGGACCCAUACUGACGCUGAGGAACGAAAGCUAGGGGAGCAAACAGG
rnacentral:rRNA from 1 species